rnacentral:lncRNA from 1 species
GGCGGAGGGAGCGGUGGACUGGACGGGCGUCUGUAGCGUUUGGACCCCGUCCUCAUCUUCUGCGCUGCUGCCCCGAGACGGCGCGAGGUCUCGGGCGGUGACCCUGACGUCUUGUCCGAAUUCUCGGUACGGAUCCAAAUACCCUGUUUUUGCUUUUGGUCUGUCCCUGAAUACUCCGUGUUCGCGCUAGGGAAGAAGAGGACUCGAGGCCGAGUGGCUCCGGCUGGGAUUCCUACCAGCAAGGCUCUAGCGUUGUGGGACCCUCUCCCCUCCAGCAUCUGCAGCUUCCCGUUGCCUGUUGCAGCACAGUGGGUCUUGACCGAACUGCUGGACUGAACACUACAAAUGAAUGUUGGCCCCUACGUGGGGUGAAGCGUCUUGUCUCUCGCC